GGCAGACAAGCCUGAGAGCCAGGACAGAGCCCUCCAGAAGUCAGCAGCACCCUGUGGGAGGGAGAAGGCUGUGGUGUGCAGUCGCCCUCUGCCAUUCCGGCCGCUUCCCGUGCCUUGGAUGACCCCAGCUCUGUUGUGCCUCAAGAUGAACCUCGUUGAGCAAUCCCAGCUCUCUUUCACCCUGCUGUUAAUGUUUCACUUCUCAGCAGCAGUCCUUUGGCCACCAAUAAAAUAGUUAAUCUUCCGUUUA